CCAACUCCAUGAGCAGCAAAACAAGGCACAGACGUGGCCAUAGUCUGUUACCAGCACGGAACUCAAGCACCAGCCUGUGGUGUCACAGUGGGUGUCACAGUGGGGCUGUUUCUCCCACCCAUAUUGGUCAGAUGAACAAAAAGCUCCCAGAUACACUUAGAAGAAUAACUUCACGGUAUGGGCUUACAAAUGAUUGGAACCAGAAGCCUUGCUGGCAGACACAACUAUAUCAGAAGUCAACCCUCCAUAAACUGGAUUUUUUUUGUUUGUUUGCAUUAUUGUUAUCUGCCCAUAUAUGCCAAAUAACACUUGGCCAGCUAGUGAGAGGGCUGCUCGGAGAAUUUGUGACUCAGCUGCAAAACUGCAACCUGAAGAUGAGGUAGGAGAGGGCUGGGAAAGCCUCGUCUCUGUCAUCUCUACUCCUGCAGAGGCCUCCUGAGCACGUGACAAAGCUGAUAAGACUGAAGAUGUAUGUGCUGUAGAAGUCAAAAUCAGCAGAUACAACCAACCUGAUGAAACGGGUCAUCUCUAUAUUCUUUCUUCACACAUGGAUUCAUUUGAGGACUUUCUACAUCCGUCUCACUAGUACAGGAAGAGUGGCACUCUGCACAGUGUAGAAGGUCCUCCCACACAUCUUCAGUUUCUGAUUCCGGCCU